ensembl:lncRNA
CACCACCACCACCACCACCACCACCACCACCAACAUCACCACCACCACCACUACCACCACCUCCACCACCACCAUCACCACCACCACCACCACCAGCAUAACUACCACCAGCAUCACCACCACCACCACCACCACCACCACCACCACCACCACCACCACCACCACCACCACCACCACCACCACCACCACCCCCACCACCACCUCCACCACCACCAUCACCACCACCAACACCAGCAUCACCACCACCACCACCUCCACCACCACCACCACCACCACCACCACCACCACCACCACCACCACCGCCCACUCCUUGCCCCACCCUCAAUGCCAGAUGAGAGCGGGUCAUAUUAAGCAGUUCCUCCUGGCUGACGGAGGUUAUUAGAUCUGCGUUGUGCGGGGGCAGUGAGCGGCGGCGUCCUCCACUCCAGGCAGCGUCUAAACGGCUAAACCCAUUAGCCUCCCAACGACUGCACGCACAUCAGGGUGAAAAACAAAGAUGCAAUUAUUCUGACUUAUUAUGCGAUUCCGCCUCGGCCUCGACAAUAACUGUACUUUGCCAAGCAGGACAUGACCGGUUCCAAGAUUGAGGACCGUUUAAGGCCCUAAUGCAGUGAUCCUGUCGACUGGAAUAAAACGUCUGUUUAAAGGGCGGCCCACCGUACGGCCUCGGACCACAGCAACAGCGCCAUCUGUGGGCUAGUGUGGGAAUUACAGUUUGGAUUAAUGCUGUUCAUCUCGGAGCGGUCUCACUCGUACUAUAGACUCAUACUACGCAACACCUACACCGUGGAGCCCUCGUACCAUGGUAGUACUAGUGCUCUGUGCUAGUCCAUGAUCCUGGACUAGCACGAGGCUGCUGGCCAGAGGAGGCGGGGCCUGGUGUCCUGAUUGAUAUGUUGUUGAACCAAUAGGUGUUGGCCGUGGUUUGGCUGGUUGGUUAAAUGUUGUUCCUCCCUCAGGACAGUGACCUGGAGGCCAUGAUGAGGCAGAUGGAGAGGCUUCUGGACGGAGAGGCUGGAGGUGGAUCAGAGUCUGAGUUGGGGGCUCCAUCCUUCUCCCCAGGGCCCCCAGAGCCCCCAGACCCCCCAGAACCCCGGGGCCCGGCCAGGGUCCACAACAGCUUGGUGGAGAACAACAUCCAGCGCAUGAGAGAGGUGCUGUGUGGUCGUCUGGGGGAGGAGGCCUUCCAGCGGCUUUAUGAGGACCUGAAGGAGGCCAGGAUGAGGCGGGAGGGGGACAGCAGGGUCCUGGACUCUCUAGACCCGAGAGACGGGUUCCUACUGGACCAGAUCCUGUACCAUGAAGACCAGGUCCUCUCCCACCAAGACCAGCAAGACCAGAUACCACAGAGCAGCCAACAGGAAGAGGGUGAGCCAGCAGACAGAACAGGGCGGGGCCACCAGAAAUUGUAGGUUUAAAGGAAAUAAUGGGAAAAUCCCUGGGCAGUGUAAACCCUCAAACGCUAUUGGCUGGCAGGAAAGUGUGACCUCAUCGAAGACUCUGCAGACCUGGAACAUUCAUUAACCAAAGAGAGCUCAUUUUAUACAGUCAUGUGUCAUAUAUAUCAUGUAGCUAUUUUGAACGACCACUUAUACAUUUAAAACAUCUUUUAAAAUCACAUUUAAAUAAACAAACUUUUUUUGUAACCUUCAUUGUUCUCAACCUUAUUUGUAGGUCGCGUUUUGUUAAAACCGCAGUCUUCUUAAUGACUAUUUGUGAAUGUUUGUCUUCAAAGGAAGAGGUUCUGUCUCUCUAUGAAAUCAUGGCCUCUUUUUAAAGGAUGAGUUGUAAGUAGGUUUUCUUCUAGUAAGAGUUUAAUGAAUACUUGCAAGUCUCAUUGAAAGCUGCAUAUCAUAACGUAAAUCAAACAAGCUGAAACCCAAAGGGGAAUCAAAAUGAAAAAGUUAAUUUCAUUCAGUUUGGGACUUAAGGCUAGCUCUCCGAGCACAGACCCCAGCUCUUUGAAUCCUGUAUCCUUGUCACGAAGGAACAAUCUUUUUAUCAUUUUAAUCAAUCCUAAAGCCUGUGGUACAUAUCUUUAUAAUUCAUUUGAAUAAUUCAUAAAUACAGUUUAUAGAAUGUUGAUGCUGAGCGGGGCAGUGUGUGUAAGGUACAAUAAAGUACAAUAUUAUGAAUAUGGUGAAGAUAGGAGCUGGGUGCGUUACAUCACCCGCAGAGGUUUGAAGGCUGUACUAUCACUCUUCCCGUGAAAGCCGUUGCCCACCUCAUAUCUUCUGCCAAAGAAUCCUGCCUGAGACACUUGCAGAGUAUUUCUAAAGAAGAAAGUGUCAUAUUAAAGAUAGCUGUAUUAAUAUAGAUGGAAAACAAUGGGGGAGGGCAACACGUCCAAUCUGUAAAUCUGAGCCAUGAAAUAGCAAAGCUGCUCAUUGCCGACUCGUUAUGGAAAAGUCUUUGCUUAGCGUUCAUCAAAAGGAAGAACUUAAAGGUUUCUCCCACCGC